rnacentral:rRNA from 1 species
CCCUUAGAUGUUCUGGGCCGCACGCGCGCUACACUGACGAAUGCAACGAGCUUAUAACCUUGGCCGAAAGGUCUGGGUAAUCUCCAAAUUUCGUCGUGAUGGGGAUAGAUUAUUGCAAUUAUUAAUCUUCUACGAGGAAUGCCUAGUAAGCGCAAGUCAUCAGCUUGCGUUGAUUACGUCCCUGCCCUUUGUACACACCGCCCGUCGCUCCUACCGAUUGAAUGGUCCGGUGAAGCGUUCGGACCGUGGCCUUUGGACGGUUCGCCGUCUGUUGGCUGCGGGAAGUUCGUUAAACCUUAUCAUUUAGAGGAAGGAGAAGUCGUAACA